GACGAACGCUGGCGGCGUGCCUAAUACAUGCAAGUCGAGCGAAUGAAGAGGAGCUUGCUCCUCUGAUUUAGCGGCGGACGGGUGAGUAACACGUGGGCAACCUGCCCUGUAGACUGGGAUAACUUCGGGAAACCGGAGCUAAUACCGGAUAAUCCAUUUCACCUCAUGGUGAGAUGUUGAAAGGCGCUUCGGCGUCACUACAGGAUGGGCCCGCGGUGCAUUAGCUAGUUGGUGGGGUAACGGCCUACCAAGGCAACGAUGCAUAGCCGACCUGAGAGGGUGAUCGGCCACAUUGGGACUGAGACACGGCCCAAACUCCUACGGGAGGCAGCAGUAGGGAAUCUUUCACAAUGGACGAAAGUCUGAUGGAGCAACGCCGCGUGAGUGAUGAAGGUUUUCGGAUCGUAAAACUCUGUUGUAAGGGAAGAACAAGUACGUUAGGAAAUGAACGUACCUUGACGG
rnacentral:rRNA from 1 species